AUUUAGCGGAGACAGAUACACGCCAGCUCCUCCAGUCUGGUGAUUUUCAACACCCCGUCUGGUACAGACCCAGAUCAUCUCUCCCCGGCUGGGACGCAGCUUGGGGUGCAGUCUGCACCAGCCCUGCAGGUCCAGCUGGACGUGGUGGGGAGAGGAAGCAUCCGGAUCACUCGCGGCCUCUGACUGGCAGGAAGAGCGAGAGGACUCCAGAGUCAUUCCCAGUCUCCCGGAAGACUUUUCGAGCGAGAGGAAAGAAAAGCUGGCUGGCCAUGCUAGGCGAGGGCCCCACGGGCAGAGGCAGCCAGCCCCCCAGGGUUGGGGUGCCACGCAUCCCUGAAGGCUGGGUGCGUCAAGUCAGACUGACAAUAAAGUGAAACGGAAGACGGCGUCUCUGAUGACAGGACUAUCACAGAGGCAAGGGGAAUGAGCAGAUGGAGAAAUCUCGGCUCUGCGAUG